GUUGGUUGACCGGUUUGAGGAUGGGAGUCCUGGUAGUCGGUCUUCUAUGGCGAUCGGGUGUCCGCGCUAAGCUCGGCAUCAAUAUGGUGCUGGAGAGGGAGCUCAUCAGGACCGGGUUGUCUAAGGAGGGAAGAGUGUCGUGUAGAGA